rnacentral:tRNA from 1 species
CCUGUGGCUUAGUUGGUUAAAUCGCCGGUGAAGUAGACACGGAGUCGUGGGUUCGAAUCCCACCAGG